rnacentral:rRNA from 1 species
CACGUAGGGCGCAAGCGUUGUCCGGAAUUAUUGGGCGUAAAGAGCUCGUAGGCGGUCUGUUGCGUCUGCUGUGAAAACUCGGGGCUUAACCCCGAGCUUGCAGUGGAUACGGGCAGACUAGAGGUAGGUAGGGGAGAAUGGAAUUCCCGGUGUAGCGGUGAAAUGCGCAGAUAUCGGGAGGAACACCGGUGGCGAAGGCGGUUCUCUGGGCCUUACCUGACGCUGAGGAGCGAAAGCGUGGGGAGCGAACAGG